UACAGAGGGGGCAAGCGUUGUUCGGAAUUACUGGGCGUAAAGGGCGCGUAGGUGGCCUUCUUAGUCAGACGUGAAAUCCCCAGGCUUAACCUGGGAACUGCGUCUGAUACUGGAAAGCUCGAGUUCGGGAGAGGAAUGUGGAAUUCCAGGUGUAGCGGUGAAAUGCGUAGAUAUCUGGAGGAACACCGGUGGCGAAGGCGGCAUUCUGGACCGAAACUGACGCUGAGGCGCGAAAGCCAGGGGAGCAAACGGG
rnacentral:rRNA from 1 species